CAUGUUGUCUUCAGUUCCACUGCUUCUUCUGGCCAUAAUUCCAUAUGUGUUCUGUGCUACUGAGCUCAUCCAGCCAGACUCAGUGCUUCUAAAGCCUGGAGAGACUUUAUCCAUCACCUGUAGAGUGUCUGGAGCUUCUAUCACUGAUAGCAGCAACCACUAUGCAACAGCUUGGAUCCGACAACCUGCAGGAAAAGCUCUAGAAUGGAUCAAUUUGAUUUACUAUGAUGGGGAUAUUCUACAGAAGGAUUCACUUAAAGUAAAAUUUGUAAUCACUCGAGACACUUCCAGUAACAGUGUGACCUUACAGGGAAAGAACAUGCAGGCUGAAGACACAGCUGUGUAUUACUGCGCCCGACACCGUGAUACUUCUCCUUAA